rnacentral:tRNA from 1 species
CGUUAAGAAGCUAAAAGGACAAGAGCGUUAGCCUUUUAAGCUAAAAACUGGUGCCUUCCAAACACCCUUAAUGG